AUGGAGAUGCAAAACAAAGGGGAUUCAACAAACUCGUCUAAAGCAUUCUCUUGUUUUCUGAAGCAGGCUCCAUUUUAUGUGGUGUUUCCAGCUACUAUAAGCCUUGGGUGCUUGUAUUUGUCCAAGUCAUCCAACCUUCAGGACUUGCUGUUGGUUAAGCUGUCAAAAGAGAUGUAUGAUAAUUUUGUUUCUUCUUUUCGCCUUGUGUUUUUCUGGUUUCAUCAUGUACAGGUGAAAGUAUUGCAGCAUGAUCUCUUCACCAAUGAUGUUCUUUACACUGAAAUAUCAAUCAUUACUGGAGAUGGGUACAAAAGAUCUGGACUUUGGGCAGUUAAAUCAGUUAAUUGGAAGAAAGACAGGUGGCAUAUUGUAUUCCCUUUCACCUCAUCGAAAAGAGGGUUUGAAGCUCCUAUUAGUCAUAUUAUUGUUCGAGGCAAAUCCAUGUCAGCACGCACUAAAGAUCUUUUCAACCUUGUGAACUGUAUUCUCCAAGAUGUUCAGUUUGCAUAUCAUAAGCGCUUCAAGCAGUUUGUCUCCCAAAGUAAAGCUAGAAUGGAGAAUCGAUUACGGGGCAGUGGGCAUGGCGUUGCAGCUGCAAGAAUGGAUGUAAAGUUAAAUAGUGCAGGGUGGAUUAGUGAACAAAUGGGUGGUGUCAGUUACCUGGAAUAUUUGAAAGAUCUUGAAGAGAAAGUGGAACAGGACUGGAAUGGAAUUUCAUGUGUUCUUGUUAGGAGUAUAGUCAAGAUCAAUGGAGCUUCUUGUGUUAACAAAAAGAAUACAGUUGUAGCACUAGCAUCUUAUGAAAAUGGAGCUUCUUGUGUUAAUAGAAAGUGUUAUUAG